rnacentral:miRNA from 1 species
ACCCUUGUUCGACUGUGAUGUG